CAAAAGGUUAUAGAAAAGGAGAAAUUGUGUUUUCUGGAAGAGGUUAUCAACUUACAACUUUGAAUAGGUAUUCCAAACAUUAGCUGGUGUUUGAAUUUUUGAAAAGCUCUAGGAGAACCCAGCUAAACCUCUUCUUUCCAUAUGGAUUUCACAUAAUCAACAGCCCUCGAAAUACUCAGUGAGCACAGCCUCUGAGCAGCAUGGCACUGAGAGCUCUGCAGAAACAGACCUUGGAAGCAUUUCCUUCCCCUUCAUGACUACUGUUGCUCUGUAGCAAUAAGCCCACGAAAAGAUGACGAGGAAUGAGAGUCAUAUUUAAUUUCAAAUAAAAACCGUGGGAAGCUGGGAAAGGGAGAUGCUCGCAGGAAGGAGACGAUGCAAAAAGACAUUGUAGAGCAGGGAGGAUUCAAACCUGGGAGAAGAAAUGGCAUGUGGAGAGGCUGAGCAUGGGAAAGGGCCAGCCAGGGAGGUGCAGUGGAGAAAAUCAAGGUAUCCAGGAAAUAAACCCAUGGGUACCAACAGGGAGAGGGAGGGAAGAAGGGACAAAUUAGGAGUAUGGGAUUAACAAAUACAAACUAUUAUACAUAAAAUAGAUAAGCAGCAAGAAUUUACUACACAGCACAGAAUUACAUGCAAUAUCCUCCAUUACCUAUAAUGGAACAUAAUCUGAAAAAUAAAUAUGAGUCACUUUGCUGUACAUCAGAAACUAACAUAAUACUGUAAAUCAACUAUACUUCAAUUUUCAAAAAAAAAAAAAGUCUACAGGGCCUCACAUUCAUGAGACAUUUCAAAUAUUUCACCUCCAGAAUGAAGUUAAAACCCAUGGCACACAGAGCGCUUCUCAACCCCACCAAAACCUCCAGCCUCUGGUCUCCCUGCCAUACUGAAUUUCCCUCCAAUUUCUGGUUCCUUGCCUUAGCACAUGCUGUUCCCUCUGUUCUUCCUUGUUUGUCCACUUGUUAACUCCUACAUAUUUUAAAGUCCAGCCACCUGCCCCAUGAAGCCUUCCCCUAGUUGUCCACAGAGUUUGUGACACCCUCUUCUGCUCACGCUUUUAUUAUCGCUUCCUUCUAUAAAAAGCCAUUUUUACUCUGCUUGUGAUUCUGCCUUCCCUUUUUGACGGUGUGGGAUCACUCACAGGCACAGCGGCUUGGAGCACUUUGUUCUGUGCCCCAGACUUUGUACUGUUAGUCUUGAGGAGUGUGUCAAAAGAAUUGUUGCCAAAAGAAUAAACGAAUGGAUGAAUGUAAAUACAAGUGAACACUGGAAGACAGAGUGAAGAAAGGUUAUCACUGGUUUACUGAGAAGCGAGAGUCAGAGGGAAAGGCUGACUGGGCUCAGUCUGAAGGGCACCUUGAGUCUCUAAUGGCAUUUGACCACCAGUCACCAAACAUUCACUGGGGGUCUAUUUUAUGCCAGAUGCUACAGGAGGUAGUACAGGGCAGUGAUGAAGAGCGCUAAGUCUGUGGAUUCAAAAAAGCUCUGAGACAUUGAAAAACUUAUGGUCUCUGGAGGAGACAGUUUGGGGGGCGGGAGGGGGGGUAUGCUUGGGUUAUGGGAUGGAAAUCCUGUGAAAUUGGAUUGUUAUGAUCAUUAUACAACUACAGAUGUGAUAAAUUCAUUUGAGUAAUAAUAAAAAAACAAAAAAACAAAACUCUGAGACUUGCCAGCUCUGUGCUCCAGGACAAGUCACCUAAUCUUUCUAGGUCUCAGUUUCCACGUGUGUAAAAUGGGUAUGAUGACAGGGUCCAUCACACAGGACUGUCAGGAGGAAUAGAUCAUUUACGGGUGACAGUGCACAUGGUCUUGUGUUGGCAAGACGCUGAGCAUAAAAUGGAAUGACGUCUGCCUGCGUUAGGCAGGAGUAUGAGAUUUUUAAACCUUUUUUCAAUUCUUAAAGUCUUCUUAGGAUAUAUUAAAUGAUUUACUUGCUUUUGAAAAUACAACUGCCUGAACAUAAAUUGUGCUUUGAUGACUAAUCAUCUUGCAAUGGGUAUCAGAGUUAUUAUCACAACACAGCUCUUCUCACAGUGUGGACUGAUAAUAAAUAAUAAUAAUAAUAAUAAUAACAGCAACAGCAGCUUUGUAUAGCACCCAAGUGUUUACAAAAGGCUUCUAUACCUUUCACAAGAAUCCUGUGAGGUGAGCCAGCCAAGUAUCAUGAUGGAGGCAAAGCUGCGAUCCAGUUGUCCCGUUCUUGGCAGGACACCUACUGCUUAGCAAGUAGUGGCCUCAUGGAAGAGACAAGCUUAAUGCUACCUGAUCCCUAGUUUCCACCUGGAAGUUAAUUUCUUAUAAAGGAACAUCCGAUGUGUGAUCAUUUGGUUGUGAUUUGACUUUAACAGAAAUUUUUGAUCAAAAAAUUUGAGUCCUUAAUAAUUUGUUGAGGUUUUCCUGUCCAAUGUCUGUGUAUCUAUAAAUGCAACUAUUCGGUAACUGAACAAAGUUUUGUUUUGCUUUGGAUUUGAAGGGGGUUAAUAAAGGAGGCGUUACUAUUAUUUGAUUGUAUGUGAUUCCCUGCUUGUCUAAUUCCAGUAAAUUCCACUUAAUGAUAUAUAACCAAAGCAAAUCAUGCAUUGGUGGGGGUUAUAUAUGGAUAAAAGCAGGCAGAGGAAUGUUCACGAGCCCCACAGGAAGGCAAUUUACCAGACACAAGGUCAAAAAUGUGUUUCAUUGUCCAACAAUAUGAGUCAAGGAAGAUCUAAGGUUAACCUCUCCAAGAUGGAAUGUUCAUGUUCCAAAUGACUGAAAUCAAUACAGUCCUUUUCAGUCCAGGUUUUCCUUCCUGUUUUUAUCCAGUAGCACAAUGAAUGCAAUCGUCACUUAAUAAAAUAUAGCUUUUAAGAGACAAACCAUGUCUUUACCUCUAGGGAAUAUAUGGAAGUCUUUCCCUGAAAAUGUUAAUAGAACAAUAACAUUUAACAUCCGAUUGCUCCAUCUAAGGUUGAGGGGUAAAGCUUUAGUUCAAGUCCUUUCAGAACUUGCUGUUUACUCCAUCCCCCCCCCCAUUUUCACAACUUUUUAACAAAAAAUCUUUAAUUGAAGCAAAGUUGAUUUACAAUGUUGUGUUAGUUUCAGGUGUACUAUAAUAUAUGUAUUCAGUUUUACAUAUAUGUAGGUAAAACUGAAUCACUAUGUACUUUUUCAGAUUUUUUUCCAUUCUAGGUUAUCACAAGACAUUGAAUAAUAUAGUUCCCUGUGCUAUAUAGCGUGCCCUUGUUGUUUAUCUAUUUUUUAUUUAGUAGUGUGUAUUUGUUAAUCUCAAACUCCUCAUUUACCACCCCCCUUCCCUGUAGCAACCGUAAGUUUGUCUUCCAUGUCUGAGCUGUUUACUUUUUGUUAGAAUUUUUUCCUGCUAUAUUUCUUAUUGAGGAGCUCACAGAAGAAAAAGCAGCAGAGUUGAGAAUGGAUUAAGAUGAACUCAAACCAGAAACAAAGCAUCUCUCCAACAGGGAAUGGCUUGUAUAGGAAAGUAAGGGGCAUAUUUCUUUUCUAAAUGGCUUGUCAUUGUACGUCAGCUUGAUGCUGCUAAUAGUACUUCUGCUUACAUACCCUGCCAGUCAAAGUUUUCAUUAAAUACCAAGUGUGUGUGUUUCUCUGAUGCAUCUGAGGACCAUUCUGACACAGUGUGUGCUCAUGUGAGGUCAGAGGAGAAUCUACCAACGGCCUAGGUAGCAGCCUGCCCUGCUGCCUUCCUGGAUUCACUGGUGGCAGGUGGAUACAGCAGCCGGGGAGCAGGAUGCGGGAACCUCGGUCACUCAACAUGCCGGGGUAUAUAUAUACAUGUGUAUGUAUGACUGGGUCACUUUGCUGAACAGCAGAAAUUGGCACAACAUUGUAAAUCAACUAUACUCUAAUACAAAAUGUUUUUAAGGAGUUCCUGUUAUGGCUCAGUGGAAACAAAUCUGACUAGUAUCCAGAGGAUGUGGGUUCGAUCCCUGGCCUCGCUCAGUGGGUUAAGGAUCUGGUAUUGCCAUGAGCUCUGGUGUAGGUCAAAGACAUAGCUUGGAUCCUAAGUUGCUGUGGCUGUGGUGGAGGCCAGCAGUUGUAGCUCUGAUUCGACCCUUAGCCUGGGUACUUCCAUAUACUGCAGGUGCGGCCCUAAAAAAAAAGAAAAAAAAAAUUUUUUUAAAAGGACUGAGAAGUGAAUGAGAAGUUCCCUGACAUAGGUUUGCCUUGAGUCCUUACCACAUGAGUUAUCUUUCCACUGUAAAACUAGAGUUUGGACUUGAAAGAGUCAUUUCAAUAAAGUAGUGCGUUAGCUAAAAAGAAAGGGGCUCAGUUUAAGCAAAUGGCCUGAAUAUUAUUUCCUCUCAACAGCCUAAGCAACAUAAUGAAAAAUGAACACAAAAUAAGGAACCUGAGUGACGUCCUAUGUCUACAAGGUUGGGUCUGAGUAAGAGUGUGUCUCCGUGUGACAUGACUCAUCGGGGGCCUGCAGCUUCAGUUUGGAACACACACACACACACACUCACACACACACACAGACACACACAGUUUCACUCAGGAGAAAGCUAACUGGAGUUAGUUUCACAGAUAACUAGCUGUUCCCAGCCAUCCAGGUUUGAAGCAUAACCAGAAACACACCUUCCUUCAAUAAGACAAGACCCAGGGAGCUUAGGGGUGACCCAAGGCACACGUAUUUCAAGGCCUGUCAAACUGUACUUUUCAGAAAACCAUUUCGUUUAACAAACUCUCAGCAGGCACCCCGACUAGACAUAAUCUAUAGGGGCCUUUUGUCUCAGGCGGCACUGCUCUGCUCUAUGGGGAUCUCUUUGCAGGGAUAAUUGGUUUGGCUGUCCAUUCCACCCAUCAGGUGAUAGAAAACUAUCAAUCAGGCUAAAUGCAAUGUGAGAGAAGUCUCUUUAGCCAAUUAGUCAGUAAUGAGAACAUUAGCCACGACAGCUUCUGCAGAGGGCACCUUAGCCAUUCCACUAGAGCCUGAGAAGAUGACAGUCUCAGUGUGAUUAAUAAAGACCACAGGAGGCUUCAGAAAGCCUCCAUGGUGAAGAAGAAAGCCAGAGAGCAAGGUGCUUGGCAGCGCUGUUUUCAGUGCUACAAGUGUUCCACGGGAAAACGCAAAAAACACAGGACCAGAAGGCUUCAGAGCUGGAAGCAACCUUGAAGACAAUCUGAUCCAAAGCCCUCAUUUUACAGGGAAGGCAGGGAACAAAAUGACUUGUCCAAGGUCACAGAGCUGACUAGCAGAGGUGCACCUCUCACGGCUCUAAAUGAAACAUUUAAGGCUGUUGAAAACAAAGAAACCAAAGGCAACACAUCCUAUACCUAUCAUGCUUCUGGUGUAUUUAUAUACAUUUUAAUCUUCACUGGUCCUCCCUCAGGUCAGACAAAGAUGCAGGUGGGUCCCUUGCUAUCCUCCCCUCUCCAUCCAGAUGAUACACAAAACACAAAGGACAGGACAGAAGCUGGUACAUGCAAGCUCAGCUGCUUUUUGGGAAGGUGCUCUUGGAAUGACAAGCACAGUGACAGGGCUCCCUCUCUGUGUACAGGAAUCACACUACAGUGAGUUAGGGCAGAGUAAACAAAACUCCAAAAUUCCAAAACAGGAACUUCCUUAGGGUGAAAUCUGAGGAAACAAUGGAAAGAAGAGAAGUUCCAAAGGGAGAAGGGCACAUGUGAGAGCAAAGGCAAACUCCUCUGCCACUGCUGGGGCAGGGGGCCGAACAACACACACACACACACACACACACACACACACACACAUUCACGGAAGUGAAAUGGGUGAACGAGGAAAAGGAAGCACCUGAGGACACAGGUGGACAGGCUCCUAAGACAAUGUGAGUGAGCAGAACACCUAGGGUAGAAAAGGGAAAAGGGAGGGACCCUGCUGGACUGCUGGCUCUUUCCAUUGACACAGUAUGAAUAUGGAGAAUCU
rnacentral:lncRNA from 1 species